rnacentral:sRNA from 1 species
AUAUCUCUCUGUACGGGAAGGAUGAGAAGCUUCGACUAAGGUUCGAUUCGAGCGAAAGCGAGAAAGCGUUGCCGCAGGCAACGACCCGAAGGGCGAAGCGCGCAGCGCUGAGUCAUCCUUCCCCCA